UAAGGUUAAGUGAAUAAGGGCGCACGGUGGAUGCCUUGGCACUAGGAGCCGAUGAAGGACGGGACUAACACCGAUAUGCUUUGGGGAGCUGUACGUAAGCUAUGAUCCAGAGAUUUCCGAAUGGGGGAACCCAACAUCUUUAAUAGGAUGUUACGAUUGUGUGAAUACAUAGCACAUUCGAGGUAGACGCAGAGAACUGAAACAUCUAAGUACCUGCAGGAAGAGAAAGAAAAUUCGAUUCCCUGAGUAGCGGCGAGCGAAACGGGAAAAGCCCAAACCAGCAAGCUUGCUUGUUGGGGUUGUAGGACUCCAAUAUGGUAGUUCUUUCAGAUAGUCGAAUGACUUGGAAAAGUCAGUCAAAGAGGGUAAAAACCCCGUAGACGAAAUGUGGAAGACACCUAGGAGGAUCCUGAGUACGGCGGAACACGAGAAAUUCCGUCGGAAUCCGGGAGGACCAUCUCCCAAGGCUAAAUACUCCCUAGUGACCGAUAGUGAACCAGUACCGUGAGGGAAAGGUGAAAAGCACCCCGGAAGGGGAGUGAAAUAGAACCUGAAACCGUGUGCCUACAACAAGUCAAAGCCCGUUAAUGGGUGAUGGCGUGCCUUUUGUAGAAUGAACCGGCGAGUUACGAUUGCAUGCGAGGUUAAGUUGAAGAGACGGAGCCGCAGCGAAAGCGAGUCUGAAUAGGGCGUUUGAGUAUGUAGUCGUAGACCCGAAACCAUGUGAUCUACCCAUGUCCAGGUUGAAGGUGCGGUAAAACGCACUGGAGGACCGAACCCACGUACGUUGAAAAGUGCGGGGAUGAGGUGUGGGUAGCGGAGAAAUUCCAAACGAACUUGGAGAUAGCUGGUUCUCUCCGAAAUAGCUUUAGGGCUAGCCUCGGAAUUGAGAAUGAUGGAGGUAGAGCACUGUUUGGACUAGGGGCCCAUCUCGGGUUACCGAAUUCAGAUAAACUCCGAAUGCCAUUCAUUCAUAUCCGGGAGUCAGACUGUGAGUGAUAAGA
rnacentral:rRNA from 1 species